rnacentral:rRNA from 1 species
GUGGGGAAUAUUCCGCAAUGGACGAAAGUCUGACGGAGCAACGCCGCGUGAGUGAUGAAGGUUUUCGGACUGUAAAGCUCUGUUGUUUAGGACGAAAGUGCCUGUUGCAAAUAGUUACAGGUAUUGACGGUACUGAACGAGGAAGCCACGGCUAACUACGUGCCAGCAGCCGCGGUAAUACGUAGGUGGCAAGCGUUGUCCGGAAUUAUUGGGCGUAAAGAGCAUGUAGGCGGGAAUCUAAGUCUGUUGUGAAAAUGCGGGGCUCAACCCCGUAUUGCGAUGGAAACUGGGUUUCUUGGUUGCAGGAGAGGAAAGGGGAAUUCCCAGUGUAGCGGUGAAAUGCGUAGAUAUUGGGAGGAACACCAGUGGCGAAGGCGCCUUUCUGGACUGUGUCUGACGCUGAGAUGCGAAAGCCAGGGUAGCGAACGGGAUUAGAAACCCUGGUAGUCC